UACAGGCGUUCGUGUGUGCUACGAAGCUUUUUGUUUCUAGUGUAUCAGCUAUAAAUACUGCCGACUAUUUGGUUGUUUGUGGAUGCACUUGUAGUUUCAAAGUUUGUGUAAGAAGCCUGAAUUGAUUCCGAAAUUUAAACCUCUAAACAUCGAGAGAAUUCAGGGGGAUCUUCUACCACCAGGCCCCAGCCAGUGCUGCUUGUGCAUGCUACGAGUACGACGUCGGCGGGGUCCCUCUGCCGUGGCCCUGGUCGCAAGUGGCCGUGGAACAGCAAAAGAAUCAAGUGGCAUUACAGACAAGAGAGGGAGAAAAGCCUGAAAUAACUCGCAGCUCUACACUACAAUGAGAAUGCAGGUCACAGACAAUGCAGGACGGAGACAUGCUAGCCAGAACUAGAAAUGGAGACCUAAGAUUCUCAAUAGCACUUUAGAUACGCAAAGAAUGCAUGCACAAUGCACUUGUUCAUUGUCAGCAGGGUGACAAGACAUGAAAUCAACUCCAUCCGCAGCUGAUGUGUAACCCCCGUGUCAUUGACAUCAACCUUCACCAGCCGGAAAAGGAUGCAGCAGCUUUUUUUUUUGGGGGGGGGGUGGGGGUUCAAAGGUAGUGGGUUCAACUUUGUUUGAAGAAAG